GACGAACGCUGGCGGCGUGCUUAACACAUGCAAGUCGAACGGUAAGGCCCUUCGGGGUACACGAGUGGCGAACGGGUGAGUAACACGUGGGUGAUCUGCCCUGCACUUCGGGAUAAGCCUGGGAAACUGGGUCUAACACCGGAUAGGACUCCUGGCUUCAUGGUUGGGGGUGGAAAGCUUUUGCGGUGUGGGAUGGGCCCGCGGCCUAUCAGCUUGUUGGUGGGGUAAUGGCCUACCAAGGCGACGACGGGUAGCCGGCCUGAGAGGGUGACCGGUCACACUGGGACUGAGAUACGGCCCAGACUCCUACGGGAGGCAGCAGUGGGGAAUAUUGCACAAUGGGCGUAAGCCUGAUGCAGCGACGCCGCGUGAGGGAUGACGGCCUUCGGGUUGUAAACCUCUUUCAGCUAUGACGAAGCGCAAGUGACGGUAGUAGCAGAAGAAGGACCGGCCAACUACGUGCCAGCAGCCGCCGUAA
rnacentral:rRNA from 1 species